ensembl:lncRNA
AUUUAAUGGUUGAUUCAGAAGGAAAUGGCAACCCACUCCAGUAUUCUUGCCUGGAGAAUCCCCUGGAUGGAGGAGCCUGGUAGGCUACAGUCCAUGGGGUCACAAAGAGUGGGACACAAAUGAGCGACUUCACCUUCAUUUUAAGAAAACAAUUGGUACUGCUUUUGGUGAGUUUGGCAUGGCCAGGCUCAUGCCAUGUGCUUCCAGUGGAUUCUUCACUUAGGCCUCCCUACAACCUCGUGAGGUGAGUCUGCUCUUCUUCCCAUUUACGGACAAGGACAAAGCACAGAUCCCCCAAAUCGGCAGAAUGACACUCUGCAAACAGAGAGGGCUGCAAGGUGCCACCAGGUGACGUGCCCACAACGUCCACUUGUGCUGGGCAGAAAGACGGACCACUGAGGGGAAAGAGAGACAACUCGGCGCCAAGUCCUGCAUGGAUUAACAAGCCAGUGAUUGCCGAGGCUGUGAGGCAGUUCCUGUGAUAAUCAUUAGCAUCUAGAUUCCAGAACCACGGGGAUCACCGAAGACAGCUGCCUGGCGAAGGGCCUCCCUGGUUUCCCUGAGAAUGCCCUUGCUCUGCACCCGGAGAAACCCACAGGUGCCCCACGGAGCAGCAGCACCCUCUGCACCGGGCCCUGUGGGCACCGCUUUCUCCCAAGGGAAAAAUCUCGCAGUUCCUAUGUGGUGGGAACUCCGCGUCUACAGAGCAGCUUCUGGCAGGAAAGCCCAUGGCAGAGUCCAGCAAGGGGCUACCAAGCCCUGGAGCGCUGCCUCCUGCUUGGCGGGGCUCAGAGGGGGGAUGGAGACCUUCUCAGGCACCAGCAAAUCCGCAGUGUCGGUAGCGGCCGCCGUUCUUCUCACCCGGAGGGAGCCCGGCCGGGUCCACUGGGCUCCCUGCCCAAGCCCUGUGGGCAGUCAGGUGGGAGAGUCUGGGCAGACUGGAGGGCGGGCCCGUGGUGGGCUCAGCUCACCCAAACCACGUUAGCAUCACCUGUCACUUGACAUAAACAGCCGCCCUCCCUACUUCUACCCAUGGGAAAGGCAAAUUUUCAGAAACCUCAUGUCAGCCUCUCCCAGCACUUUCAAAUAUUUUGUGUGGAGCAUGUCACAGUAUGUAAUAACCUCACACAGGUAACAUUUCUUUUACUCUUGUAUGAGGUCUGAGAGCUGUAAAGGGCAGAUCAUAUAGCCAUUUGGUAAAAGAGGCAAGAGGUUCUAGAAGUGAAGUUGCUCAGUCGUGUCCAACUCUGCGACCCCAUGGAGAGUGCAGUCUACCAGGCUCCUCUGUCCAUGGAAUUUUCUAGGCAAGAGUACUGGAGUGGGUUGCCAUUUCCUUAUUCAAGAGAUCUUCCCAACCCAGUGAUUGAACCCGGGUCUCCCACAUUGUAGGCAGACACUUUACCAUCUGAGCCACCAGCAUGUGAAAAGCCACCACCACACAGUAAAUAAAA